GACGAACGCUGGCGGCGUGCCUAAUACAUGCAAGUAGAACGCUGAAGAGAGGAGCUUACUCUUCUUGGAUGAGUUGCGAACGGGUGAGUAACGCGUAGGUAACCUGCCUUGUAGCGGGGGAUAACUAUUGGAAACGAUAGCUAAUACCGCAUAACAAUGGUUGACACAUGUCAUUUAUUUGAAAGGGGCAAUUGCUCCACUACAAGAUGGACCUGCGUUGUAUUAGCUAGUAGGUGAGGUAAUGGCUCACCUAGGCGACGAUACAUAGCCGACCUGAGAGGGUGAUCGGCCACACUGGGACUGAGACACGGCCCAGACUCCUACGGGAGGCAGCAGUAGGGAAUCUUCGGCAAUGGGGGCAACCCUGACCGAGCAACGCCGCGUGAGUGAAGAAGGUUUUCGGAUCGUAAAGCUCUGUUGUAAGUCAAGAACGGGUGUGAGAGUGGAAAGUUCACACUGUGACGGUAGCUUACCAGAAAGGGACGGCUAACUACGUG
rnacentral:rRNA from 1 species